ensembl:lncRNA
AUGGCCCCAAGAAAUGCGCGUAAUAAUUUCUACAUUUUGGGCUCCGGUAGCGGGAAUGGCAACGCUGGGACCAAAGGCAUGUCGGAAUGGAUAGGCUUGUCCUUGUGCCGAAAAUGUGUUGACUUGAACGGAGUGUGGACCAGGUGUCUGAUAUCUGUUGGAAUUACACUGCUUCUGGUGCCGUCCAUAUUUGCCAUAGACGAUGAAGCAAGACUCGAGGCGUCAGGACAACCCCUCAGUCCUUCCCAGGUCCCCACCGGAGGGCCAAACAUCACAGUCUCUUCAUCGCUGCUGGGGGACGAAGACUUCGCCUCGCAGUUCCACUCCCCACCAGCGAGGGCAGAAAGCACAAGGGAGCAGCCUGUGUUCGCCUCAGUGCAGACCCUGCAGGUUGCAGAGACACAGCCUCAGGCGCUGGUGCAUUCUCUGCCCUCCCCACCCGGCAACAGUGACAAUCGCACCAAUCAAAAGUCCCCUGGGGAGCUGGCCGUCAGAGUGCCAAAUCCACCGUCCCCGGCACAUAAAAUCAACAGUGUCUUGACCACUAGCUCAGGGACUUUGCUGAUUUGAUGUUGUCGUCAUCCUUUCUUCACCAUUCGUUCAUCACCAUCAUCAUCAUUUUCAAGGUCAUCGUGUUUGUUGUUAUAGUAAUCAUCACCAUCAACAUUUUUUCAAUAAUAUCUUUAAAGUCAACAUGAGAUUGCAUUCACAUCCCAUUUUAUUUGCGCAACGUGACAUAUUUCUGAGUAAAAAAGUGAAAAAAUUUAAGACUUUUUGGGAUUUGAUAGAUAUAAUAUGAUAUUAUUGGUUAAUAUUCUUUUUUUAAAGAAAUUAAUACUUUUAUUCAGCAAGGAUGAUUCAAUUGUUUAAAAAACAUGACAGUAAAAAUAUUUAUAUGUUUCUAUUAAUUUUAAGUUAUUUAAAAAUCCUGAACAAAAAAUAUAUCACCGUUUCCACAAAAUUAUUAAGCAGCACAGCUGUUUUCAACAUUGAUAAUUAUAAUAAUAAGAAAUGUCUCUUGAGCAGCAAAUCAGCAUAUUAGAAUGAUUUCUGAAGGAUCAUAUGACACUUUUUUUUACUGUAUUUUUGAUCAAAUAAAGACAAACAUGGUGAGCA